UGGGCUGGUAUUCCUGGAUUCUAUAAGAAAGCAGACUGAGGUGUUCAAAAGACAGUGCAAUAGACACUCACUAUCUGGCAUCGUUUUUUCUUGGCUUUGUGCAUGUUAAACCUGGUAUUUCUAAUGAUACAGUU